GCCCGGAUGGCGGAACUGGUAGACGCACGGGACUUAAAAUCCCGAGGCUUAGGCCGUGUGGGUUCGAGUCCCACUCCGGGCA
rnacentral:tRNA from 1 species